GAUGAACGCUGGCGGCGUGCCUAACACAUGCAAGUUGAGCGAACCCUUCGGGUGAGCGGCGGACGGGUGAGUAACGCGUGGGUAACCUGCCCUAUACACACGGAUAACGUACCGAAAGGUACGCUAAUACGAGAUAAAAUAUUUUUAUCGCAUGGUAGAAAUAUCAAAGCUCCGGCGGUAUAGGAUGGACCCGCGUCUGAUUAGCUAGUUGGUAAGGUAAUGGCUUACCAAGACUUCGAUGGGUAGCCGGCCUGAGAGGGUGAACGGCCACACUGGAACUGAGACACGGUCCAG
rnacentral:rRNA from 1 species